ensembl:lncRNA
CCUGAUUACUUUCUAUAUCCUUUCAAAUGUGUCGAGGUAACAUCAAUACCUGUUUGCCUGAAGGCCUUUGAAAUGCAUUUAAAUAAAACAAUUAGUUUCACCCUGAAACAUUUCUGGGGAGCAAACUUGCAGGAUCUGGAAACGUCCAAGAGAGCAACGCACUCAUUAGAUUGAGUUCCUGCUUUGAUUCCUCAGCCACUCUAGAGCCUUUGCAGACUGCACCUACACGAGUAAUGAUCAUCUAUGAGGAAAAUAAAUUGCCUAUAAAAUGAUGUCACCAAAGUGGGCAAUAGCAACUUCCCCAAAAUAUCAGUUUUUCCGCAUUUUGUAAAAUUACCCUGUUGGGGAUCUAUUUUAGCCUCUCCACUGACUACUGACACAAGAUGAAUGCUACAAUGUAGUAAAUAUUCCUUUCUGUUAGAUGCCCACUUUAUAUUGCUGCAAAUUAAAUAAUUAUUAUAGAAACACAUAGUGUCAUAAACACUAAAGAAACCAGGCUAACUAGGCACUGAGGACACAAAAAGGAAGAGCUUCCAAGGACAGAAUAGUUGCCUGUAACUUCACAAACUAAAAGCAUCUUUAUCUUUCUGAAACUGAAAGAAAAAACCCAAACCUGUCAUUAUUCCUUUAUCAUACAGGAAAAACCAAGACAUUAAGCAAUUUGUCCAAUACCACACUGAAAGCCUACAGUAAGCUACAGAAGAUCCAGGCUAUGGUGUCUCCCUCUCAGUGCAUUCAGACCUCAUUACAGUAUAAGACAAACUUCCUAUGAAUUAGCUAAAUAUAUAUAUAUAUAUAUAUAUAUAUAUAUAUAAAACACAAAGGUGAGCACAAAAGUCUAAUUCCCUUGAUAUUUCUGAAAUUUUCUUGUUGAUGUGUUUAAAUAAGAGACUGAGUCCCCUUCCUAAAAUGGAGGUGCUUUUUAUCUGGAAUGGGAAGAGAAUAGCACAGAAACAGAAGCAAGUUAGUCAAAAUACUCAGGAGAUUAGAAACAGUAAGAAGGAAAAAACUGAAAUCCAAUGAGGAAUGAAAGGUUUCUGGAAGAUAAUACUACUUUUCUCUGAUCUCUGCAAAAUUGGAAGGAAUAAGGGGUUUGAAGGAAUUCAGCAGGCAUAAUUGUCUAACUGUUGCCAUAAGAUUCUGUAUUCUGUGACUUUAUGGUUUUAUCUUGGAAAUAUCUGAGCAAGAAGGCCUGAAAGAUGAAGUAGCACAUUUGUAUAACUGCCAAUGUCUGUUCUAAAUACAGUCUCUCAGGAUUACAUGUCAAGGAUUUCAAAUUAAAACCUUGGUACACAAAGUUAAGCACGGGCUUAAGUGCCUUGAAAAAAAAAAAAAAAUCAGGUGAUGAUUGCUUGGGAAUUUCUAUAAUAAAAUGAAAGUUGUAUGAAUAAGACACUGUACUUUGUGGGAAGAGACAGGAAAAUCCAACAUAAAAAGCUGUGCAAGUACUUAUUUAUAAGCACACACACAAUGACUUUCCUGUGAUAAUCUAAUUUGGGGUAGGCCGACUUCAACACAUCUACCAGGAACCACCAAAUAUUUCAGUUCAAAAUGUGAUUUACUUCCCAGGUACAGUUCCUUCAGGAUUUACUGGGGACAGGGAACAACAGACUUGCAUAACCUCUGAGACUGAAAACUAUCACUUUAUUGUUAGUACCAAAGGUCAGAUUGCUAUGUUUUUUAACUGAUUACUGCUCAUGGGUGUGCAAUUAUAACCUAAAUAAAUCUGAUGAUGAUAGUAGCAUUUGUUUCCUGUGCUGGAACAAAGAUUUUUCAAGUGAAAAGAAUAAAAUGGCAUUUUCAUAUCCUGCAGCACAAAAAUAACUGUGGCAGAGGAGUCCUUUUUAAUGUGAUGACACAUUGAUUUUUUGGAGGCAAAGUAUGGUUUUACUUUGUAAAGCAACUUCCUUAUAAAUCAUGUCGUAGUUUGUUGUCUUUUGUUUAAAUUAUUCAGUACGGAGACAAAUUGUAAUGAAAACCUACUUAUGUCUACCAAAUGCUGUCAGACACUAGGAAUACCAGAAAUAAAACUUCCAGGAGUCCAGUGCCAAGAUAUUCACUCAGACAACAACCAGACUUAUGAACUCACAUCUAUAGGCAUUAAAACACAUUUUAACACACAGGAAUUAAACAACACUAAAAUGCAUCUCGGCUAAAUAUCUUGCAACCUGGGAAAUGUACUUGCUUUAUGAAAAGCAAACUGAAAGCCAAAGAACAUAUCAUAUCUGAAACACCCUGAAUUAAGUGCUUUUGAAAGCAGAUAGGAGGAAGGAGAAUCUCAAGUAAUGAUGAGUGAAAGAUCACAUUUAGAAUAUUUUAGGGGAUGAAACUCCUUCAUGUGAAAUAUUUGGAAAUUUGCCAGAGCUAAUGCUAUUAAGGAAGAGCUGACUGGUGGGAGAGUAGUUUCUGUAUAACAUUUUCCUAACUUUCUUUUAAUAUGGAACUUUGGAAGCCAACCAAAUUUCAAAAAAUGCUUUUUUAUUUGGAUAGUAUUGCACAUUCUGUCAUAGAAAAACAUGGUUUCAUUAGAAAAACAAUAAUGAAAAACUCUCAUGAGCUCAUCUAACUUAAACCAUAAUAUCAGAAAAAAAGACAGCUGGCAGACAGAAACAUGAACUGAGCAAAAAGACCAACAUAACGCAUUUUAACAUUAUUAGACUUUGAAACUUGCCACAAUUUUGUCAGUCAUACUAAUAUCAAGUAAGCAAUUGAGCUUACAUGAGUACUGUUUUUAAACUAAUCUUCAGUUUUUUUAAGAGUGCUGUUCACAUUCUUCUGUUACUCCAUAUUUGCCUUAUUCAUCCCUCUUCACAGACAGUGCUGCAACUAUGCACUCACCCGUGCUUAAGUUUAAGCACACAAAGAAUUCCAGUUACUCUAAGCUAACUAGUCUCAUUGCAUGUACUUUGUCAAAGAUUAAAUUCUAAAAUUUAGUGUUAAUCAUAGAUAAUUAAAACAAACAACAAAAUG